rnacentral:rRNA from 1 species
UACAUGGGGUGCAAACGUUGCUCGGAAUCAUUGGGCGUAAAGCGCGCGUAGGCGGUUGCUUCAGUCGGAUGUGAAAGCCCUCGGCUUAACUGAGGAAGUGCAUCCGAAACUGAGCAGCUAGAGUACGAAAGAGGGUCGCGGAAUUCCCGGUGUAGAGGUGAAAUUCGUAGAUAUCGGGAGGAACACCGGUGGCGAAGGCGGCGACCUGGGUCGAGACUGACGCUGAGGCGCGAAAGCGUGGGGAGCAAACAGG